rnacentral:rRNA from 1 species
AGAGUUUGAUCCUGGCUCAGGAUGAACGCUAGCUACAGGCUUAACACAUGCAAGUCGAGGGGCAGCAUGGAAGAAGCUUGCUUCUUCUGAUGGCGACCGGCGCACGGGUGCGUAACGCGUAUCAAACCUGCCUCAUACUCGGGGAUAGCCUUGCGAAAGUAAGAUUAAUACCCGAUGUUGUUAUGUUUCCGCAUGGUGAUAUAACCAAAGAUUUAUCGGUAUGAGAUGGUGAUGCGUCCGAUUAGGUAGUAGGCGGGGUAACGGCCCACCUAGCCAUCGAUCGGUAGGGGUUCUGAGAGGAAGGUCCCCCACACUGGAACUGAGACACGGUCCAGACUCCUACGGGAGGCAGCAGUGAGGAAUAUUGGUCAAUGGACGGAAGUCUGAACCAGCCAAGUAGCGUGCAGGAUGACGGCCCUCCGGGUUGUAAACUGCUUUUAGUUGGGAAUAAAAAAAGGGACGUGUCCCUUAUUGUAUGUACCUUCAGAAAAAGGACCGGCUAAUUCCGUGCCAGCAGCCGCGGUAAUACGGAAGGUCCAGGCGUUAUCCGGAUUUAUUGGGUUUAAAGGGAGCGUAGGCGGAUUAUUAAGUCAGUGGUGAAAGACGGUGGCUCAACCAUCGUUAGCCAUUGAAACUGGUAGUCUUGAGUGCAGACAGGGAUGCUGGAACUCGUGGUGUAGCGGUGAAAUGCUUAGAUAUCACGAUGAACUCCGAUCGCGAAGGCAGGUGUCCGGGCUGCAACUGACGCUGAGGCUCGAAAGUGUGGGUAUCAAACAGGAUUAGAUACCCUGGUAGUCCACACAGUAAACGAUGUAUACUCGCGGUUUGCGAUAUAGUGUAAGCCGCCAAGCGAAAGCAUUAAGUAUACCACCUGGGGAGUACGCCGGCAACGGUGAAACUCAAAGGAAUUGACGGGGGCCC